rnacentral:ncRNA from 2 species
GCAUCGAGUCACGGGGUUGGUACCUACCCGUGGUGAGAGGGAACCCGGUGGGAAUCCGGGACUGUCCCGCAGCGGUAUGCAGGAACGACCGCCGUCAACGGCACUGGUGCGCAGCACCGGGAAGCGACGGCCAGUAGGAACACCUUUGGGUGUGUGCCUGUGAGUCCGAAGACCUGCCAGCUGUGCCGGGCGCGC